GGCCGCGUGGCCCCAUCCGGCCGGGCAGAAAACAAAGACCUCGGGCUUCUCCAUCCCCCAGGGAGCUGCAGCUCAGGGGCCAUCCCAGCUGCAGCCGCUGCUGGCGGGGGGAACAGCUGCGGAGGAGAAAGCCCUCUUGUUCCUCCACAGCCGGAGACACCGGGCAGGAGACGGUGGGAAGGGGGAAAAUGCAUGGAUGGAUGGACGGAUGGAGAAAACACACGUGCGGUGGGACAGCGAAGCUUCGCCUCAUGACUCAGCACCUCCUCGUCCUGGCCCUCUGUGGGGACCCACUUCCCGAUGGAUCCAGGGAUGGACCCACUUCCCAAUGGAUCCAGGGCUUGCUGAGGUGCAUCCUCAAGGACAGCCACCCCUGCUGCAGGAUUAAGCUGCUGAGUCCUCCCAGCUGGAAAGCAGAGCUCGGAUCUCCCAACACCCUGGGGAACCAAAGACUCACAGGAUGAAAACUCGGCUCCCACGUGGAAAAGUUUUCUGAGACAUCUGAGCCCCAGCCCAAAGGACUGCUCGAGGUUUUAGAAUGUAUUUUAAGACACAAAGGUAAAGAAAAGGGUGUUUUUUAAAGCUC